rnacentral:lncRNA from 1 species
UGCGGGCUCGUGAGCGCGCACUGCCCCACCAGCCCACAGCGCCCGCCCGUGGGCCGCGUUCGCUCAGGGUGCGCUCGGGCCAGUCCCGCCUCUCCUAGUUUUCGCUUUCGCUUUUUAUAGCUUCUCUGAAGAGAAACAAAGCGGCAGCUACGACGGCUACGACGGCCACGACCGGUAAUGGUGUUGGAGGGAAGGACAGGGGAACUCCGCAGCCUGGACCCCAGGCCCACAGGAGAGGUGGCAGCAUGCCCCGGCCCUCCUGCUGAUGUCAGGAGGCUGGACAGCCAAGAAGGAAGAAAAUGGACUCCCUCCUUCUGAAGACUCGCCAGCUGCCAGUGAGUGUGAGCUUUUGCAGGCUCCUGCAGUAGAUGUUAGGUGUUGAUACGAACCACACGUGUUCAAUGUUCGGGUUGUUUGUUGAUAUUCACAAUUUAUCUAAUAAAACCAUAAUCUGUGAAAA